AGAAAGAUAAGCUAAUCAAGCUACUGGGUUCAUACCCCAUUUAUAGAGGUUUAAUCCUCUUCUCUCUA
rnacentral:tRNA from 1 species